CCCCUCUUCUUCCCCCUUUUCAACUCUACGACCUAGAAAUCAAAUUUCCAUCGACGCCUCCCUUCCCUCGCCGUUUGGUCUCCAUCGCCGUCUCCGUCGACACUCAUCACCUCUCGUCGACACCUCCUUCCCCCCUCUCUCCCUUUCUUCCCGUCGCCAUCUGGUGUCCAUCAGUUCCUGCUACUGCUUCUCUAUUCCCUACAAACCAAAACCCUUCGCUCCAUCGCCCCCACUUCUCUCCAUCGGCAGCAACGACGGCUUCCCUCUCCGUUCUCGCGCCUUCAAAACCCUAGCUUUCUCCUCCAGUCUCUCGACCCCUUCAUUCCCAACGGGUGAUGCUUUGAUUCUCAUCAAGAUUCGACCUUUUUCGGUUGAUUUGAUUGGUUUUGGUUCGAUUCUGAAGGGAUUGAAUCAUUCAAGUCGUCGACUGCGCCGAGCGCCCGUAGGUUCGUCGUAUGUGAGGUUGCACCGGCGAAGAAGGCGGAUUCGGCAACGAAGAGAGCUCGGCAAGCGGAGAAGAGGAGGAUUUAUAACAAGGCGAGGAAAUCCGAGAUCAAUACUCGAAUGGAGAAGCGAGGACUACUACACAUUCCCGUCCUUCAGUUUUGUCUGGGAACUAACUGAGAAGAUGAAAUAACAUUUCAGAGUGGUAAGAAGGAUGCUAACGGCCUGUUCGGCAAACUCCCAAAAUGAAAAGCCAGUUGCUGAAGGAUAUCAACGUGAUCCUCAAGCUAUAUUCCCCGGAUGCUAGAUGCAAAUUUUGUGUGUGUAAAAAUAUAUGUUUGGAAAUUGAUUUGUAAAAUAUUAUUCUCAGUUUGUUACACUAAAAGUAUUGUUCUCAGUUUGUUACACUGAAAGUAGAUAAUGAAAGUUAUUCUCAGUUUGUGUUA